UAGAUUGUGAUUGUUCUCCCGGGGUGUC
rnacentral:sRNA from 1 species